CAGCCGCCGCGGGAAUACGGAGGAUCCAAGCGUUAUCCGGAAUCAUUGGGUUUAAAGGGUCCGUAGGCGGUCUUGUAAGUCAGUGGUGAAAGCCCAUCGCUCAACGGUGGAACGGCCAUUGAUACUGCAGGACUUGAAUUAUUGGGAAGUAACUAGAAUAUGUAGUGUAGCGGUGAAAUGCUUAGAGAUUACAUGGAAUACCAAUUGCGAAGGCAGGUUACUACCAAUCGAUUGACGCUGAUGGACGAAAGCGUGGGUAGCGAACAGGAUUAGAUACCCGCGUAGUCCCUGUCUCUUAUAC
rnacentral:rRNA from 1 species